GCUCUCGUGGCCCAGUUGGUUAGGGCGUCGUACUUAUAAUGCGAAGGUCGAGGGUUCGAUCCCCUCCGGGAGCA
rnacentral:tRNA from 1 species